ensembl:lncRNA
AUGUCUUCUGGGUCUUACUCAAGCCUUUUUUUUCUUCAGGGGGAAACUGCUUUCUUUUCCAGAGACGCAGCUACUUACUUCAUGCUUUCCUGUUUCCAAUUGUUUUUGUAACCGAUUUCUGAUUUAGGGUUUGGAAACUGGUUUCACUGGAGUCACAGAGUUCAACGUCUUGCUGAUUCCUCACAGAGAGACGGCGGCUUUUGAGGAUGUUGGUGAUGGCCAACAAUUUUUCCAGCUUUUUUUUUUCCAGGGCAGCAAUUGCUAUGCAAUGCGUUUACGUUUUAUAAUUAGCGUUGGUGUAGUUGUCAUUGCAGUGAUUGAUUUGAACCCCCGAGGGAUUCACGGGAAAGAAUGCAGCGUUACUUUUUGGUAAUCUCAUCUCAUUGAGAUUAUCUGGACUGAAGCCUGUCAGGAACAGCUGAGGUGACUGAGGUCAAAGGCAGAUCGGAUCCAAGAGGAAGAAAUAACAAUGACGUGAUAAAAAAAAAAAAAUGUUUGCCACAGUUUUCACGGAGUGUGCAUGUGUGCCUCUGUGUCUCUCUUUGUCUGUUUGGCCAUGUGACGGCAGACAGGCAUGUCUCUCAGGGUGUCGUCUUCCCCGCCCGGGGGCCAGGCGGUCUUCAGUCUGGUGGAGCUCCACCUUCCUGGAUCCAUGCUACGCCGGCAUGUGUGGAGGUGUGAAGGUGUCACACGUGCUCCAACGCAGGUCCGUUUGAUUGUCGGCGGGGGCGGUGCACAUCCAGGAGCCCAGAAUUCCUCCGGCUCCACUCUCGCUUCCCCCACACGGACAAUGGGGCGGGGGUGAGAGGUGGAGGAAUGAAAGUAAAGGAACCCGCGUGAAUCACUGAAGGUUAAGCUCUGCAGAUUGAAUGACUCCCCUGGGACAAGUGCUACUUGGGCCUGCACAUAGGAAUACACAAUGGCAGGUCAUCUGGCGCUGUAAUCGAAUGGCAUUCACUGAGCUCGCUACACAAUUGCAGGAAAGAGAGGGGGGGAAAAAAAAUGCCUUUUUUUUUUCUCUUCUCACUGUUCAGAUGCUGAUUAUGUGCUUUCUACACUCGAGUGCUGGAGGCCAAAUGACAACAUGCCAUUGGUUCGUUUUUUUAGGAGCAGCCACUCAUAAGGGCAAAAUUGUUAGGAAUAAAAACGUUAAAGGAACCAGCCACAACACGCC